ACUCAAAUGAAUUGACGGGGACCCGCACAAGCGGUGGAGCGUGUUGUUUAAUUCGACGAUAAGCGAAGAACCUUACCCAGGUUUGACAUCCUACCAAGAUUUCCGAAAGGAAAUUGUGCCUUCGGGCCGUAGUGACAGGUGUUGCAUGGCCGUCGUCAGCUCGUGUCGUGAGAUGUUUGGUUAAGUCCAUUAACGAGCGCAACCCUUUUAGCCAGUUGGAUUUCUCUGGCUAGACUGCCCUGGUAACAGGGAGGAAGGAGGGGAUGAUGUCAGGUCAUUAUUACCCUUACAUCUGGGGCUACAAACACGCUACAAUGGCCGGUACAAAGGGCAGCUAAGUCGCGAGACGGAGCAAAUCCCAUCAAAGCCGGUCUCAGUUCGGAUUGUAGGCUGAAACUCGCCUGCAUGAAGCUGGAAUCGCUAGUAACGGUAGGUCAGCACACUACCGUGAAUACGUUCCCGGGUCUUGUACACACCGCCCGU
rnacentral:rRNA from 1 species